UAGCCCCAGCCCCGGGAGUCCCAGGUGUUCCCAUUCUGUGAUCAGCACAGAACACAGAAACCUCACCAUGGAGUUUGUUCUGGGCUGGGUUUUCCUGGUUGCUCUUUUAAAAGGUGUCCUGUGUGACGUGGAGCUGGUGGAGUCUGGAGGAGACCUGGUGAAGCCUAGAGGGUCCCUGAGACUCACCUGUGUAGCCUCUGGAUUCACCUUCAGUAGCUAUGCAAUGAGCUGGGUCCGCCAGGCUCCAGGGAAGGGGCUGCAGUGGGUCGCAUAUAUUAGUAAUAGUGGAGGUAGCACAUACUACGCAGACUCCAUGAAGGGCCGACUCACCAUCUCCAGAGACAACUCCAAGAACACGCUGUAUCUGCAGAUGAACAACCUGAAGACUGAGGACACGGCCAUAUAUUACUGUGUGAGAUACACAGUGAGGGAGCAGGUGCAGUUGGAUAGAGGCAGGUUUCCUGUCAGGGUCUGGGGUUUCCUCUCAACACAGCAGUUCCUGGACACAGGAUUCUGUGCUUACCUAUUAACUUUCUGA